rnacentral:rRNA from 1 species
GACGAACGCUGGCGGCGUGCCUAAUACAUGCAAGUCGAACGCAGUGGGGACGGGUGAGUAACACGUGGGUAACCUCCCAUCAGAGGGGAUAACACUUGGAAACAGGUGCUAAACCGAUCCUGAUGGAUGGACCCGCGGUGCAUUAGCUAGUUGGGGAGGUAACGGCUCACCAAGGCCAAGAUGCAUAGCCGACCUGAGAGGGUGAUGGGCCCCACUGGGACUGGGACACGGCCCAGACUCCUACGGUAGGCAGCAUUGGGGAAUCUUCGGCAAUGGACGAAAGUGUGACCGAGCAACGCCGCGGAAGUGAAGAAGGUUUUCGGAUCGUAAAACUCUGUUGUUAGAGAAGCGGUAUCUAACCAGAAAGCCACGGCUAACUACGUGCCAGCAGCCGCGGUAAUUC